rnacentral:misc_RNA from 1 species
GAACUGCGAUACGUAAUGUGAAUUGCAGAACUCCGUGAAUCAUCAAAUUUUCGAACGCACAUUGCGCUCUCGGGCAUUCCUGAGAGCAUACCUGUUUGAGUGUCAUAUUAACACACAAACCAAAUCGGUUUGGACUUGAGCCACCUUCUCGAUUAAAAAGAGAAUGGCUUUAAAAAUAAGGAAAGGUAGCAAAACUCUGGUUUUCGCUUAGCGGUUCUAAAUGAAAAGAUUUUCAUUUUUUCGCUGAGUAUAUUGACCUUUGUUUCUGCAUUAAUACCUUUCGUUAGCGAAAAAAUGUCAUUAAUUUGAUAUUUUGUAUUGAUUGACCUCAAAUCAGGUAAGACUACCCGCUGAACUUAA